CAGAAACAUCUUGAUUAGAUGAUUUUUCCCAGAAAAAUAACAGAUGCAGUCAAUAAGUGCUGCUCCCACCGAGACACCAAAAUAUCCCGUAAACCAACACACUCUGAGCAGAUCUUCGCAGUGAAACGCUGAGUCCACAGAGCGGCCACACAGACACGAGGCUGAAGAGGAAGGAAGCUGGGAACCCUGCGCGGGGGCCUUUCAGGGAAGGGUUGCGGCCUGUCUGCAAGCCUUAGCCUCUGCCGGAGAGAGCCCCCACAGCUCCGAACACCUAACAAAGGAAACGUAAGUGCAGCUCCAGUGAUUGGAGGGGGCUCCUCUAAGGGCCAGGAGAGGACUUGGCAAAAGGAUCAUCUCUCUCCCCUGAACUAUGGAGCAUGACUGCGAAUACAAAAUACCAAAGAGCCAGCGCUGAGUCAGAGCCUGCCGGCAAUUACUCUUAAGCGCCAUCUACUGGUUUGCCGCCGAAAUUACAAUUUCAAAAUAUUCUGCCAGUAUAGAGCACCUGUAAAACCCAGAGCAAGAAUCUAGCCACAAAGAUCCCAUACAGAGCCUUGGCCCUCUGAAAGUAUCCAGAAAUGAAGCCAAUUGACUAUACUCAACAUAUACCACAGUUAAGCCCUCAAGGUAAAUGAAUAAUAUAAAAACAAGACGACAAAGGAACACCAGCCCUCUCAAAAGAGUCAGCACAAGAACUCUGGCAAUUCAAAACGUCAAAUAAGCAUACUAGCCCCUCAGCAAGGACUGAAAUGUCCGGAAUGACAGACAUAGAAUUCAGAAUCUGGAUACCAAAGAAGCUCAUCAAGAUUCAAGAGGAAGUAGAAACCCAAUCCAAGGAAUCCAGUAAAAAUGACCCAAAAAUUGAAAGACAAAAUAGCCAUUUUUAAAAAGAACCAAACUGAACUGGAAUUUAAAAAUUCACUACAAAAUUUUCAUAAUAGUGUUGGAAGCAUUAACAGAGGAAUAGAUCAAGCUGUGGAAUCUCAGAGCUCAAAAACUGAUUCUUCAAAUCAACUCAAUCAGAUAAAGAAAAAAAUUUUAAAUAUACAAAUCUUCAGAGAGGAUACUCAAUCUGUAUCCACUGAACAAUUUCUCAUUUCCUGCUUCCUCCAGUCCGGAGUAACCACCAUUCUACUUUUUGUUUCUAAGAAUUUGAUCACUGUAGAUAACCUCAUUUAAGUGGAAUUGUGUAGUAUUUAUCUUUUUGUGAUUGGCUUAUUUCAUGUAUGUGAAAUGUAAAAAAAAAAUGAAGCUAACAAAUAUUUUAUUAAAACUAAACAUUAAUGUGUUUCAUGCCACUGAACUGUACACUUAACCAUGGCUAAAAUGGUAAUCAUAUUUUAUCACAGUAAAAAAAAAUGGAAAAACACUCUCAACGCUAACUGUAACACUAACUGUAACAAUUAGACCAGUUAGAACAAAAAAUUAUUUCUUAUGGGAAGGUGUUCUAUCAUUGACAUAGUUUAGGAUUGCUGGCACAUGGUAAUAAUAAAAAGCACACUACAUGUAAU
rnacentral:lncRNA from 1 species